CUUUCGAAGAGAAGGAAAAGACAGAUUCAGGGGAGGAGCCGAAGGUCUUCCACAGUGGGGGAAGAUGAUUGACUGUUCUCGGGAGGAAGGGGAGAUGAGCCGAGGUGCUGAAGAGAACUGCACCCUUGGGGACGCGGGGACGCCUUGCCCUGUCCUGCCCCGUCCUGCUCCGGCCCGACCUCAUUUCGCUCCGUCUUAGAAUGAUUGUUAGGCAAGAAAGGGGCUUUGGAUGCCGAUCUCCUCUUCCAGUCUCUCACCAACUUUAUUUCUGAGACGCGGAGAACAUGAAGUGCUCACACAGGGCAGUUCAUAAAUCACGUUGACAACAAUUUUGUGGAUUAAGUGCUAUUGUCAGCUAUUGAAUCUGAGAACAUAAAAGCCUGAUGUGUUGAUUUGUUACCUGAGGUCCAAAGCCCAUUGGUCUGGGACUCUUCUUGCUGGGGAAGAUCAAUGCCUUCUGCCUGGGUAAGGAAUAGGACAAAGUUGGAGAGAGCCAGAGAAAAGAGAGGUUUGUUCCUCUUCCAGUAUGAGUCUUUGGACCUUUUUCAAAUGUAAUCUCUUUAGUCUCUUCAGUUUCUGAACAUUGGUUCUGGCUUUCAGAAAACAGAUGGAAGAUGACAAUCCCAUUUCAGGGUUGCUAAAGGAAAAGACUGGGAAGAAGUCAACUGUCUUCCUCAUGUUUCUGUCCCCAGCAUGCUAUACUAGGAACUUUGGAGAACUUCACCAAUAAGAGAACUCUUUCACUUUGUAUUGUAUGGUAUAUAUUCUCCUAUAUAUAUACUUUCUCUGAUUUCUGUUUUGCUAUGAUUUGGAUAAAUGGACUUAUUUGCUAUUUUGUAUCAUUGUGCAAUUGGUAUUUCAUGAGAAGGGAAUCAAGUCUGGAACAUCAAGUUUGGAGUCCUUCUUUCCCCAGAAUAAUGAAGUAGCAAUCAGAAAUUUGUUUGAACCCUAAAACUACCAUCUUGAGAUUAAUAAUAUUUAAGGGAAUAGAUGGAUAUAAUUCUAACCCAGCAACUAACUCACUUUGUCUGUCUCUAUCUGUCUCUGUCUCUCUGUCUCUCUGUCUCUCUCUGUCUCUCUCUGUCUCUGUCUCUCUCUCUCUCUCUCUCUCUCUCUCUCUUUCUUUCUUUCUUUCUCUCUCUCUCUCUCUGAAGUUUCUGGGCCCAAUAGCCUGAUAUCCUUCCUGGCUUGAAAUAAAGUCUCCUUUGAAGAAGGAUACAGAGGAGAAAAAUAUAGAGAUGUCCAUUCUAUUUCCCUUUAAGUCACAUAAUGAUACCCCUGUUCUACAUAUGAGACACAGCUCUCAAUAGAACACCAGGUUUUUAUAUUAAGAGGUCAGAGUUUAACAUCCCAGUUGGGAUGACUAAGUAAAAGGUGGACUUGGUGUAGGCAGGGAUUCUUAUAAGCUGGGGUCUAUGAAUUGGGACUGGAAAAAAAUAUUUUUAUUUUCACUGAUUUCUACCAGAAAUUUAGCACUUCCUUCAUUUAGUAAUGCAGAUAAACAUUAUUCAAAGAAGGUAUCACAAUAUUAUGGAAUAUUAUUGCUCGGUAAGAAAUGACAACAGGAUGAUUUCAGAAAGGCCUGGAGAGACUUACAUGAACUGAUGCUGAGUGAAACAAGCAGGGCCAGGAGAUCAUUAUAUACUUCAACAACAAUACUAUAUGAUGAUAAAUUCUGAUGGAUGUGGCCAUCUUCAGCAAUGAGAUGAACCAAAUCAGUUCCAAUGGACAGUAAUGAACUGAACCAGCUACACCCAGCGAAAGAACUCUGGGAGAUGACUAAAAACCAUUACAUUGAAUUCCCAAUCCCUAUAUUUUUGCCUGCCUGCAUUUUGGAUUUCCUUCACAGGCUAAUUGUACAAUAUUUCAGAGUCCGAUUUUUUUUUGUACAGCAAAAUAACGGUUUAGUCAUGUAUACUUAUUGUGUAUCUAAUUUAUACUUUAAUAUAUUUAACAUCUACUGGUCAUCCUGCCAUCUAGGGGAGGGGGUUGGGGAAAGAGGGGAAAAAUUGAAACAAAAGGUUUGGCAAUUGUCAAUGCUGUAAAAUUACCCAUACAUAUAACUUGUAAAUUAAAAGCUAUUUAAAAAAAAAGAAGGUAUCACAAGACUUUCCCAGGUGACCAAAGAGAAUAUAAUAUAUAGAAAAAGUUAAAAAAAAAAAUUGGGCAGUGGGAAGACCUACAGAGUGGGCAGACAGGAAUUUUGUAUCUUCCUGAUAGCUCUGCCACUAUCUUAUCAUUUUGAACAAGGUUCUUUAUCUUUGAGUUCUUUUUUUUUUUUAGGUGAUCUCUGAAGGUCUCCAAUUAGGUAAGGUACCAGAGCAAUUAGAUUUAUACAAGUUAUUUAGAUUAUAGGUAAAAUUCCUUUUAGGACUUCCCCCACCUCCAACUUAGGUUCACAACUAGAGAUUUGAACAUCUUUAGGAAAAGGAGGCCAAAGGUCAUAUUUCAUUAUUGAGUCAGUAGUCAAUAAACAUUUAUUAAAUAUAUUCUCCCUGUUAGGCACUAUGCUAAACCCUAGGGAUACAUAGAAAAUUAAAAGAUACCUUCUCUCAAGAAGCUUACAAACUAGUCAUAGAAAUAAAUGCAAAUAGCUAUAUACAAACUAUCUAGACAGAAAAAAAUAAAAUAAUAAACAGGGGGAAGGUAUAGAAAUAAAGGAUCAGGAAAAGCUUCCAGUAAAAAGUGAGAUUUUUUUCUUGCGAUUUGAAGGAAGCCCAGAAAACCAGGAGGCAAACCUACAAUAAGAGAUUAGAGGAUCUUGUAGGAAAAGAGUAAGAAGGAUAGUCACCAAAUCUAAGCCUAAUGGGUGAGAAGACCGAAAAGACUGGGGUGUUUGUUGGCUUAUGAAGGAAGGUUUUGAACUCUCAAUAAAGCAAUUUUCUUUUCAUAUAUUUUGAAAAAUAAACAUCUAUUGUUAUUUUUUUUUUAAGUUUUCUUCCUCUCUUCCCCCUCCCCAAGAUACCAAGCAAUCCAAUAUAGACUAAAUAUGUGCAGGGAGGGAGAGAGAGAGAGAGAGAGAGAGAGAGAGAGAGAGAGAGAGAGAGAGAGAGAGAGAGAGAGAGAGAAAGAAAUAUAUAAUAUCUAAGUUUCAAGUCUAUGAAAUGGAAGGAUGAUAAUAGGACAGUUUGGAAAGAAGAAAGAUUUUGGGGGAAAAGAUGAGUUCAUUUUGGACAUGUUGAGCUUACAAUAUCAAUAAGAUAUCCAGUUCAAAAUAUCUAAUUUGGAGAUUCCAAUCUAAAAGUCUAGAGUUAGAACUGGAUAAGUAGGGACAACUAAGUCAAUCAGUGGAAAAAACACUGGUCCUGGAGUCAGGAAGCCCAGCUUCAGACACUUAAACUUACUAGACAUGUGACUCUGGGCAAGUCACUUAACCCUGAUAACCUCAACAAAAUAAAUAAAUAAAUAAAUAAACAAAUAAACAAAAAGAACUGGAUAAGUUGUGAGAAUUAUCAGAAGAGUGAUUAUAAUUGAAUCCAUAAGAUGAGAUCACUAAGUCAAAUAUUAUAGAGGGAAAAUUGAAGAAGACCCAGGAAAAUCCAGGAAAGCAGACUCAGGAGCAGUCAGAUAAAAUAAGAAUUAGGAGAGAGUAGUGUCCAAAAGCUUAAAAGAGAGUAUCCAGGAAAAGAGAGUGAUGGGCAAUGUCACAAAAAACAGAGACACAGUAAUUGAGGAUUGAUAAAAUGUUAUUAGUUUUGGCAAUUAAGAAAUGGUUAAUCAUUUUGAAGAGAGGUAUUCCAACCUGGCUUUAGGUUGGAAAGCAAAUUGUAGAGAAUUAAAAAGAAAAGAAGAAAGGAAGAGGAGGUAUUUAUUAUAGAAAGCUUUCUUGAGGAGUUUAGCUAAAAAAAAAAAAAAGUUAGGUGAGAUAUGAGAUGAUAGUAGGGAUGAAUAGAUCAAGAGAGAGGGUUUUUUUUUUGAGGAUGUGAGAGACAUGGGCAUAUAUUUGUUAGCAGUAAGGAAGCAGGCUUUAGACAAGGAGAAGCAAGUGUAGAUGAUAGAAAAGAGUCCUAUCUUUUAGUUUAACAUGCUUUGCCACACUGUUCUCCUCAAGUCUUGUCCCAAUACUUCCCUGUCCUUUUUUUUAUACUAUAUUCAAUGUCUAUUAUGCCUUCCUUUCCAGUAUCCCCUCCAGUUCAAUCAAUCAGAAAGCAUUUAUUAAAUGCCUGCGAUAUAUGUGAUAUUGUCCCAGUCCCUCCUCUCAAGAACCUCACAGUCUAACGGAACAGGCAACAUGCAAACAACUAGGUUCUAUUUAUACAAGUUAUAUAUAGGAUAAGUACAUAUGAUAGAUGUAAGUUAUAUAUAUUAUCAGUAACACACCAAACUACCAACAACUUAUUUUAUAGAACUAGACAAAAUAAUAACAAAAUUCAUCUAGAAGAAUAAAAGGUUAAGAAUAUCAAGGGAAUUAAUUUUUUCUUAAAUGUGAAGAAAGUUGGUUUAGCAGUACCAGAUCUCAAACUAUAUUGCAAAACAGCAGUCAUCAAAAUAAUUUGGUAUUGGCUUAGAAAGAGAGCAGUAAAUCAGUGGAAUAGAUUAAAUAUAUAAUAUACAGUGGGGAAAGACCAUAAUAAUCUAGUGUUUGAUAAAUGCAAAAUUCCAAGUUUUAGGGACAAGAACUCACUAUCUGACAAAAAAAAAAACUACUAGGAAAACUAGAAAGAAGUUUAAUAGUAUUUUAUUUUUCCAAAUACACACAAAGACAGUUUUCAACAUUCAUCUUUGCAAAACCUUAUGUUCCAAAGUUUUCUCCCUCCAAUUUGGAACUAUGCCCAAAGAGCUAUCAAACUGUGCAUAUCCUUUGAUCCAGUAGUGUCUCUCCUGGUUCUAUAUCCUAAAGAGAUCUUUAAAAAGGGGGAAAAAACCCACAUGUGCCAAAAUGUUUGUAGCAGCCCUUUUUGUAGAGGCAAGAAACUAGGAACUGAAUGGAUGCCCAUCAGUUGGGCAAUGGUAUAUGAAUGUAAUGGAAUAUUAUUGUUCUAUAGGAAACAAUCAGCAAGGAUAAUUUCAGAAUGGACUGAACAAAACUGCAUGAACUUGCAUGAACUGAUACUAAGUGAAGUGAGUAGAAGAACCAAGAGGACAUUGUACACAGCAACAACAAGAUUAUGUAAUGAUCAGCUCUGAUGGACUUGGCUCUUCUCAAGAAUGAGAUGAUUCAGGCUAAUUCCAAUAGACUAAUGAUGAGAGAGCCAUCUGUACCCAGAGAACGGACUAUAGGGACUGAAUGUGGAUCACAACAUAAUAUUUUUACCUUUUUUGUUGUUAUUGUUUGCUUGCUUUUUUUUCCUUUCUUGUUUUUUUCCCUUUUGAUAUGAUUUUUCUUGUACAGAAUGAUAAAUAUGGAAAUAUGUUUAGAAGAAUUGUACAUGUGUAACCUGUAUUGGAUUGCUUGCUAUCUAAGGGAGAGGGGUGGAGGGGAGGGAGGGAGAAAAAUUUGGAACACAAGGUUUUGCAAGGGUAAAUCUUGACAACUAUCUUUCAUGUAUUUUGAAAAAUAAAUAUCUAUUAUUAUUUUUUAAAAACAGUUUUCUUCCUCUCUUCUCCCUCCCCAAGAUGCCAAACAAUCUAAUAUAGAUUAAAUAUGUGCAGUUCUUCUAAAUAUAUUUCCAAAUUCAUCAUGCUGUUCAAGAAAAAUCAAAUCAAAAGGGGGAAAAAAAAAACAUGAGAAAGAAACAAAAAACGAGGACGAUCAGGAUCUCUCUCUGCAUGCAAUUGACUCUUUCCAUCCUGAGUUUAUUGAAGUUGCCUUGAAAUACAUCAUUGUUGAAAAGAGCCAAAUCCACCACAAUUGAUCAUUACAUAAUCUUGUUAUUAUGUACAAUGUUCUCUUGGUUCUGCUCAUUUCGCUUAACAUCAGUUCAUGUAAGUCUUUCCAGGCUUUUCUGAAAUCAGCCUGCUCAUCAAAACUGGAUAGAUUGGCAGAAAUUAUAUAUAGAACAAUCUUUCACACUAAAUACCAAGAUAAAGUCAAAAUGGGUACAUGAUUUAGACAUAAAGGAUGAUACCAUAAGCAAAUUAUAAGAGCACGGAAUAGUUUACAUAUCAGAUCUAGGGAGGAAAUUUAUUACUAAAGAUACAGAGAACAUUACAAAAUGUAAAAUAAAUGACUUCAAUUAUAUUAAAUAAAAAAGGUUGUCCACAAACAAAGCCAAUCCAACCAUGAUUAGAAAGAAAGUAGUUAAUUGGGGGAAAAAAUUUUUUUACACCAAGUAUCUCUGAUAAAGAACGGAGACAAAUUUAUAAGAAUACAAGUCAUUCCCCAGUUGUAGAAUGAUCAAAGUUUAUAAAUAGGCAUUUUUUCAUAUAAAGAAAUAAAGCUAUCUAUGAUCAUAUGAAACAAAUUAUCUAAAUCACUACUGAUACAAAUUGAAACAACUUUGAGGUACCAUCUCAUAUGUAUCAGAUUGUCUAAUAUGACCCCAAAAAUGACAAAUGUUGGGGAGGAUGUGGGAAAAUUGAGACACUAAUGCUCUAAAACUGAAACAAUGUUGGUGAAGUUGUGAAUUGAUUCAACCAUUGUGGAGAGUAAUUUGGAACAAAAGGUUAUAGAACUGUGCAUAUCCUUUGAACUAGAAAUGCCACUACUAGGUCUGUAUCCCAAAGAGAUUUUUUUUUAUUUUUUAUUAAAGCUUUUUAUCUUCAAAACAUAUGCAUGAAUGAUUUUUAACAUUAACCUUUGCAAAACCUUGUGUUCCAAUUUCCCCUUCUUCCCCCACUCCCUCUCCUAGAUGGCAAGUAGUCCAAUAUAUAUUAAACAUGGUAGAAAUAUGUGUUAAAUCUAAUAUAUACAUACAUAUUUAUACAAUUAUCUUUUUUCUGCUUAAUUUAAUUUAAUUUUUUAUUAUAGCUUUUUAUUGACAGAACAUAUGAGUGGGUAAUUUUUCAACAUUGUCCCUUGCAAUCACUUCUGUUCCAACUUUUCCCUUCCCUCCCUCCACCCCCUCCUCUAGAUGGCAGGCAGUCUCAUACAUGUUAAACAUGUUAAAGUUUAUACAAUUAUCUUGCUGCAUAAGAAAAAUCAAAUCAGACAGGAAAAAAAUGAAAAAGAAAAUAAAAUGCAAGCAAACAACAAAAAGAAUGCAAAUGCUAUGCUGUGAACCACACUCAAUUCCCACAGUCCUCUCUCUGGGUGUAGAUGGCUGUCUUCAUCACAAGAUCACUGGAACUGAUAUUAAUCAAGAGAUUAUUUUUUAAGGAAAAGGACAUAUAUAUGUACAAAAAAUUAUCACAGCUUUUUUGUGAUGGAAAAAAUUGGAAAUUACACAUAAUUUGUAGUAUGUGAUUGUGUUGGAAUACUAUUUUACUAUUAAAAAAAAAUCAUUCCCUCGACUGUGGGGACUGAAUAUAGAUCACAACAUAGUAUUUUCACUUUUGUUGUUGUUGUGCUAUUUGUUUUCUUGCUUGGGUUUCAUUCUUAUUUUUUCCCUUUUGACCUGAUUUUUCUUGUGCAGCAUGAUAUAUGUGGAAAUAUGUGCACAAGAAUUAUCAAAAACUAGGUUACUAUGGGCAUUUAAUGCUGUUUAUUGUGUACCUAAUCUCUUUCAUUAACCUACAACUCUAUUUCUCAGCCAGUACUAGAUUGUUCUGAUGAUUGAUGCUUUGUAAUAUAAUUUGAGAUCUGGCACUGCUAGGCCAGAUUUCCUUCAUUUUUUAAAAAUUAAUCCCUUAAUAGUUUUGAUCUUGUGCUCUUCCAGAUAAAUUUUGUUAUUAUUUUGUCUAGCUCCACAAAAUAGUUUUUGGUGGUUUGAUUGUUAUAGCACUAAAUAAAUUAAUUUAGGUAGAAUUGUCAUUUAUAUUAUAUUACCUGAGCCUACCCAUGAACAAUUUUCCUAGUUGUUUAGAUCUAACCUUAUUUGUGUGGAAAUAUUUUGUAAUUGUGUUCCUAUACUUCCUGGGUUUAUCUUGGCAAGUAGAUUCCCAAGGUUUUUAUAUUGUCUAUAGAUAUUUUAAAUGGCAUUUCUCUGUCUUUCCAUUUUUCCUUUACAACAUCUUUUUGUAUUGGCAAAGAAUUGGAAAUUGAGGAGAUGCCCAUCAAUUGGGAAAUAAUCAAACAAGCAGUGGUAUAUGAAUGUAAUAGAAUACUAUUAUUCUCUUCUUGACUUAGGUAUCAGUACCAUAUUUGUGUCUAAAAAGAAAUUUGGUAGGAUUCUUUCUUUCCCUAUUUUCCCAAAUAGUUUAUGUAGUACUGUCUUUAAUUGUUCUUAAAUGCUUGGUAAAAAUCAUUUGUGAACCCACCUGACUCUGGGACUUCUUUCUUAG
rnacentral:lncRNA from 1 species